ACACGGACCAGACUCCUACGGAGGCAGCAGUAGGAAUAUUGGUCAAUGGAGGCAACUCUGAACCAGCAUGCCGCGUGCAGGAAGACUGCCCUAUGGGUUGUAAACUGCUUUUGUACGGGAAGAAAUGUUGCUACGUGUAGCAAUUUGACGGUACCGUAAGAAUAAGGAUCGGCUAACUUCGUGCCAGCAGCCGCGGUAAUACGAAGGAUCCAAGCGUUGUCCGGAUUUACUGGGUUUAAAGGGAGCGUAGGCGGUCUCAUAAGUCAGUGGUGAAAGCCUUCAGCUUAACUGAAGAAUUGCCAUUGAAACUGCGAGACUCGAGUAUGGUUGAGGUCACUGGAAUAUAACAUGUAGCGGUGAAAUGCUUAGAUAUGUUAUAGAACACCAAUUGCGAAGGCAGGUGACUAAGCCAUAACUGACGCUGAGGCUCGAAAGCGUGGGGAGCAAAACAGGAUUAGAUACCCUGGUAGUCCACGCCCCUAAACGUUGAAUACUCGGUCUUGGCGAUAUACAGUC
rnacentral:rRNA from 1 species